UGAGUAACGCGUGAGGAACCUGCCUUCCAGAGGGGGACAACAGUUGGAAACGACUGCUAAUACCGCAUGAAACAUUUGAACCGCAUGGUUUGAAUGUCAAAGAUUUAUCGCUGGAAGAUGGCCUCGCGUCUGAUUAGCUAGUAGGCGGGGUAACGGCCCACCUAGGCGACGAUCAGUAGCCGGACUGAGAGGUUGAACGGCCACAUUGGGACUGAGACACGGCCCAGACUCCUACGGGAGGCAGCAG
rnacentral:rRNA from 1 species